AGGAUUUGACAUCCUGCGAAUCUCUUGGAAACUUGAGAGUGCCUUCGGGAACGCAGUGACAGGUGGUGCAUGGCUGUCGUCAGCUCGUGUCGUGAGAUGUUGGGUUAAGUCCCGCAACGAGCGCAACCCACGUCUUUAGUUGCCAGCAUUUAGUUGGGCACUCUAGAGAGACCGCCGGUGAUAAACCGGAGGAAGGUGUGGAUGACGUCAAGUCAUCAUGCCCCUUACAUCCUGGGCUACACACGUACUACAAUGCUACGGACAAAGGGCAGCAAGUUCGCGAGGACAAGCAAAUCCCAUAAACCGUAGCUCAGUUCAGAUCGUAGGCUGCAACUCGCCUACGUGAAGG
rnacentral:rRNA from 1 species